UACGUAGGGUGCAAGCGUUGUCCGGAAUUAUUGGGCGUAAAGAGCUUGUAGGCGGUUUGUCGCGUCUGCUGUGAAAUUUCGGGGCUCAACCCCGAACUUGCAGUGGGUACGGGCAGACUAGAGUGUGGUAGGGGAGACUGGAAUUCCUGGUAUAGCGGUGAAAUGCGCAGAUAUCAGGAGGAACACCGAUGGCGAAGGCAGGUCUCUGGGCCACUACUGACGCUGAGACGCGAAAGCGUGGGGAGCAAACAGG
rnacentral:rRNA from 1 species